UGGCGAACGAAAAGGAAUGAGCCCAGCGCAGAACGUUCCGGGGCACUCGCCCUGAGAAUGAAUGUUGCGUUAAGGAUAUUGGCAUACACCCAUGGCAGUUACACUUUGCUAAGUCAGCCUCGAAUGGUUCUCGUGAAGCCGGUAACACGGUGAGACUCCAGGGAGGGUGUUAGACCCGUGUGAAGGUGCAAUCUGCUUGGGCAAGCCGAUAUCCCGAGAGUCGCGUUGUUUGAACAUGCAGCGCUAAGCAGGUCGUAGACUCGAUCUAAGGCUAAAUAUGUCCACAGAACCGAUAGUUAACAAGUACCGUGAGGGAAAGUUGAAAAGCACUCCGUAACGGAGAGUCAAAAGACCGUGAAACCACUCAGAGUAUAAGCCAAUGGUGUCUGGAAGGUCCUGUGCUUACAUCUUGGUGUCAAGGACUCAUGCGAACCUCAGCACUUGCGGGAGCAAUCUCCGUUGCUUUGGUAAGCUUGUCCGCUGAAGCACUCCGUUGACCCACCUGGCUCGUUGUGAGGUGUCCUGAGAGCAAAGCGAAGUGUUAAGAUUGGCUUGGAGUUGGGCGUGGGCGUCUCGAUGCCUUUCGCACUCUCCUUUUCGAGCACUUCUUCAGUUCUAUUCGCACAAAGUGUGGUAGUCUUGGAGUGUGCGCUGCUUGACGCUCUCUGGAACCAUCCUCUGCGACGAAGCUUCAAUGCCUUAGUGAGCGGCCGUCUUCCUCCUCGGGAGUCGGUACAUUGGCGCGGCUUGCACACUGUCGGUGCUCCGCUGUUCAACUCUGGCGCAAGGUGUUACGUCCGAUACCAUUGGUCACGUCUCGAAACACGGGCCAAGGAGUAUAGCGUGUGUGCAAGUCUAAGGGUUCCACAAAACCUGGAGGCGUAGUGAAAGCGAGUUAUGGUGUCUCACUGGACUGAUGGAGAAGGCAGUGAUGCGUGAUCCCGCAAGUCCCGGACUCGUCGUCUGCACUGCUUCGGUUGUGUUAGCGCGAGCACCGCAGAGCACAUACGCUAUGACCCGAAAGAUAGUGAACUAUGCUUGGCGAGGGUGAAGCCCCAGGAAACUGGGGUGGAGGCCCGUAGCCGUUGUGACGUGCAAAUCC
rnacentral:rRNA from 1 species